CAAUAACGUAUAUUAAAGUUGUUGCGGUUAAAAGCUCGUAGUUGGAUUUCUGCUUAGGAGAACCGGUCCGUACCUUAGUACGUGCAUCUGGCUUGUCCUGGGCAUCCUCUGGCGGUACGACUUGCACUUUGUUGUGUGAUCGGAACGGCAGACUUUUACUUUGAGGAAAUUAGAGUGUUCACGGCAGGCUUGCGCCUUGAAUAUAUUAGCAUGGAAUAAUAAUAUAGGACCUUGGUCUUAUUUUGUUGGUUUCUAAGACUGAGGUAAUGAUUAAUAGGAAUAGUUUGGGGGUAGCUUGUAUUGACUGCGUCAGAGGUGGAAUUCGUUG
rnacentral:rRNA from 1 species